rnacentral:misc_RNA from 1 species
GAAAAGAUGAGUGGAACAGAUUGCAAAUUUCAUUGCUUAUUGCUGCAAAUAAUAUUUAGUUUUAGGAUUUGAUAAUAUCUAAAAAGAAAAUAAUUAAGUAUUUAGGGGAAGCAAGCAAUCCAUGUCAAGGAAAGAAAGCCAUUAUGUUUGAAACAGAUCAAACAGUUCAAAGUAUUUACCAAGAAAGUAUCAUCCCCAACAUCCAAAACACAACAUAUCAUGAACAUAUUUUAGAAAAAUAAGUUUAUGAACAUAUGCUUCUUCGAUCGCCAGAGACAAGGGAGAGGAGAAAAAAAAAACCACUCUGAUCU